rnacentral:rRNA from 1 species
GAUGAACGCUGGCGGCGUGCCUAAUACAUGCAAGUCGAGCGAACGGACGAGAAGCUUGCUUCUCUGAUGUUAGCGGCGGACGGGUGAGUAACACGUGGAUAACCUACCUAUAAGACUGGGAUAACUUCGGGAAACCGGAGCUAAUACCGGAUAAUAUUUUGAACCGCAUGGUUCAAAAGUGAAAGACGGUCUUGCUGUCACUUAUAGAUGGAUCCGCGCUGCAUUAGCUAGUUGGUAAGGUAACGGCUUACCAAGGCAACGAUGCAUAGCCGACCUGAGAGGGUGAUCGGCCACACUGGAACUGAGACACGGUCCAGACUCCUACGGGAGGCAGCAGUAGGGAAUCUUCCGCAAUGGGCGAAAGCCUGACGGAGCAACGCCGCGUGAGUGAUGAAGGUCUUCGGAUCGUAAAACUCUGUUAUUAGGGAAGAACAAAUGUGUAAGUAACUAUGCACGUCUUGACGGUACCUAAUCAGAAAGCCACGGCUAACUACGUGCCAGCAGCCGCGGUAAUACGUAGGUGGCAAGCGUUAUCCGGAAUUAUUGGGCGUAAAGCGCGCGUAGGCGGUUUUUUAAGUCUGAUGUGAAAGCCCACGGCUCAACCGUGGAGGGUCAUUGGAAACUGGAAAACUUGAGUGCAGAAGAGGAAAGUGGAAUUCCAUGUGUAGCGGUGAAAUGCGCAGAGAUAUGGAGGAACACCAGUGGCGAAGGCGACUUUCUGGUCUGUAACUGACGCUGAUGUGCGAAAGCGUGGGGAUCAAACAGGAUUAGAUACCCUGGUAGUCCACGCCGUAAACGAUGAGUGCUAAGUGUUAGGGGGUUUCCGCCCCUUAGUGCUGCAGCUAACGCAUUAAGCACUCCGCCUGGGGAGUACGACCGCAAGGUUGAAACUCAAAGGAAUUGACGGGGACCCGCACAAGCGGUGGAGCAUGUGGUUUAAUUCGAAGCAACGCGAAGAACCUUACCAAAUCUUGACAUCCUCUGACCCCUCUAGAGAUAGAGUUUUCCCCUUCGGGGGACAGAGUGACAGGUGGUGCAUGGUUGUCGUCAGCUCGUGUCGUGAGAUGUUGGGUUAAGUCCCGCAACGAGCGCAACCCUUAAGCUUAGUUGCCAUCAUUAAGUUGGGCACUCUAAGUUGACUGCCGGUGACAAACCGGAGGAAGGUGGGGAUGACGUCAAAUCAUCAUGCCCCUUAUGAUUUGGGCUACACACGUGCUACAAUGGACAAUACAAAGGGCAGCGAAACCGCGAGGUCAAGCAAAUCCCAUAAAGUUGUUCUCAGUUCGGAUUGUAGUCUGCAACUCGACUAUAUGAAGCUGGAAUCGCUAGUAAUCGUAGAUCAGCAUGCUACGGUGAAUACGUUCCCGGGUCU